CCUGUUUAUCAAAAACAUAACUAUAGGUUCGUGUCUAUAGCGAUUUCUGCUCCAUGUGUAAAUAAAUAGCCGCAGUACCCUGACUGUGCUAAGGUAGCAUAAUCAAUAGGCUUAUAAUUUAAGUCUGGUAUGAAGGAAGAUUUGGGGGUUUACUGUCUCUGAGGGAUUGGUUUGAAUUUUUUUAGGAAGUGCAAAAACUUUUUUAUAAAUAUUAGACGAGAAGACCCUAGAAAUUUUUUAACAUAUUUUGUUGGGGCGACAAGGUAACAUUUAACUUGCCUUUGGGAUAGGAAGCAUAGUUCGUGGAACAACUAAAUUACUCUAGGGAUAACAGCAUAAUUUUUUAAAGUUUGUGACCUCGAUGUUGGACUAGGUACCUUUAAGUUUAGAAGAAUUAAUUGGUUGCUCUGUUCGAGCGGAUUCUACCUACAUGAUCUGGAUUCAGACCGGA
rnacentral:rRNA from 1 species